rnacentral:lncRNA from 1 species
GUGCGACUCGUUAAGAUCAUGACUUCAAACAAAUAUAAAAAAAAUUGAAGUAUCCAUGAUUAGUACCAAUGAAUAGGAUAUAGCUUCUCUAUCCUAGAUUUCUAUGGUAUAUGGAAUUUAUGGUUUCCUUUGGUGCAAAUCCAAUUAUCUAAAUUGGAAAUAAGAAGCAAUUCUCCCAUUGGUAGCAAAUGGUUAUCCAUUAAGCGGAGGAAAUAGUAAUAAAAAGAAAAAGGCUUAUGCUCCUUUAUCUUAAAAGAACGGACUAACAGGGUCAGCUACUUAGCCAACUUUCAUAAUUAAAUACCGUCACUGUAUGGAUAACUCUUAUUGUGAAAAGAGCUAUUUACUCUAUAAUGGAUAGGUAGAGCCAAAGAAUGUGGACUAUACAAGUUCGCAAUACCUUUUGAUGAAAGAAAGGGCUCCGGUGUAUAGAGAGGGCCUCACCGUUUAAAAGGGAACCAUAGAAACGAUGUAACCCACUAUUUUUUUUAGUAUUAUUAGAAUGAAUUUGUUAUUUCGUAUAGAAAUAACUGAACGGAGUGGAAUAAAAAAUCGUGGUUGGGAAGGUUACUAUAGCAAAAGCCAUUGGAAUUAAUAUUUUAUAUAUCGGAAUAAUUAGUUUUGUUAUUAAUGAGAAAAAGGGUGGCUAAAAGAAGAGAAAUCAUUAGUUAUUCAUUAAGGUUAAUUUGAUUCAAUGACCAGAGUUCCGCGAGGAUAUAUAGCCCGGAGACGACGAACAAAAAGGCUUAUGCUCCUUUAUCUUAAAAGAACGGACUAACAGGGUCAGCUACUUAGCCAACUUUCAUAAUUAAAUACCGUCACUGUAUGGAUAACUCUUAUUGUGAAAAGAGCUAUUUACUCUAUAAUGGAUAGGUAGAGCCAAAGAAUGUGGACUAUACAAGUUCGCAAUACCUUUUGAUGAAAGAAAGGGCUCCGGUGUAUAGAGAGGGCCUCACCGUUUAAAAGGGAACCAUAGAAACGAUGGAACCCACUAUUUUUUUUAGUAUUAUUAGAAUGAAUUUGUUAUUUCGUAUAGAAAUAACUGAACGGAGUGGAAUAAAAAAUCGUGGUUGGGAAGGUUACUAUAGCAAAAGCCAUUGGAAUUAAUAUUUUAUAUAUCGGAAUAAUUAGUUUUGUUAUUAAUGAGAAAAAGGGUGGCUAAAAGAAGAGAAAUCAUUAGUUAUUCAUUAAGGUUAAUUUGAUUCAAUGACCAGAGUUUCGCGAGGAUAUAUAGCCCGGAGACGAUGAACAAAAAUGCGUUCAUUUGCCUCAAACUUUAGAGGGCCUCAUUUAAGACUUAAUCGAAUGAUUACCCAACAGGUAAAAAGAGCUUUUGUUUCCUCUCAUCGAGAUAGAGGUAGGCAAAAGAGGGAUUUUCGUCGUUUGUGGAUCACUCAGAUAAACGCAGCAACGCGGGUAUAUAAAGUAUUCGAUAGUUAUAGUAAAUUAAUACACAACCUGUACAAGAAGAAAUUGAUUCUUAAUCGUAAAAUGCUUGCACAAGUAGCUGUAUCAAAUCCAAAUAAUCUUUACACGAUUUCCAAUAAAAUAAAGAUCAUCAAUUAAAAGUAUAAAUAAAGUAAUAUACUGGAAUAAAAAAAGAUGAAUUCCCGGAGAGGGAACUCCGGGAAGAUACAAUAAAUUAAGAUUAAGUGGUAGGAAUCAACGAGCUGGAUUACUUUCUUUAUAAUAUAUAUAGGUCUGGCCCUUUCGAAUUCGAAUAAAACAUCAACAAUCGGAACUUAAGUUCCGGUUGUUGUUUCUUAAAUUUUGGUUGUUGUUUCUUAAGUUUCGAUUGGAAUUGUACUUUUGCAUUAAUUGAGGAAUAUGUCUAUUUUUUCUGGGUCUAGAACCUGUAAUUAUUGAAAUUGACUGGGCUUGAAAUUUCUUUUCGUUCUCAUAGUUACGAAACGGUAAGAAAGAUAAAAUACGAGCCUGUUUUAUAGAAAGAGUAAUUAAUCGUUGUUGUUUCAAGGUUAAUCUAUUUAUUCGUCUCGAUAAUAUUUUUCCUUGUUCACUAAUAAAUGGACACGAUUGCCUUGGUAUCCCAUGAAAAUAAACAUAAUAAAUUCUAUUUUAAAGGUUAAUCAUAUAGUAUUCUGUACGAGACAAAAGUUUAUUAAAGAGAGUAAUGAUAUCUUAUUCUUUCUCAGAAAACAUAAUAAAGUCUUAAGUCCAGUCAAAUUGACUAUCUUUAUUUUCAUGAAAAAAUGGGAUCUAUCAAGCACAUUCAGGAUAUGCCUCUACUAUAAAAUCACUUAGUCAUAUUUUUUUCUUCCUUUUGGUAUUCGAGUUGAAGAAGUACGAGAAUUCUAUAACUGAGGUUGAUUGGUGUUAAGAAAAACCUCUUGGCCACGCCCCAUUUCGGGUUUUAUGCGACACUAAUAAACACUAGUAUGUUUAUUUGUUAUUCGUCAAUACCAUUUCAAUUACAUAAAAAAGGAGGGAUAUUCUCUUGCUAGUAUUCUACACAUGUGGAUAAUAUAGAAUCAAAAAAAUGCAUUGAUCAUUACAUGGAAUUCUAUUAAGAUAUUAUAUGAAAGUCGAAUUUAUUCCACUCUCAUUUGAGAGUGCGAAUACAAGGAGGUAUUUUGUGUUUGGGAAAGUCCGAAGAAAAAAGAUUUUGAAUCUGCCUUUUCCUUCUUUCCCUUAAAAAAAUAACUCAAGAAAAAUCCAAUUAUUUACUCUACAAGAAUGAAAUGCUUGUUAUGCCUAAUAUACUUAGUUUAACCUGUAUUUGUUUUAAUUCUGUUCUUUAUCCUACUAGUUUUUUCUUUGCCAAAUUACCCGAAGCUUAUGCUAUUUUCAAUCCAAUCGUGGAUAUUAUGCCUGUUAUACCUCUAUUCUUUUUUCUAUUAGCCUUUGUUUGGCAAGUUGUUGUAAGUUUUCGAUGAAAUCUUUAGUACUCUGUAUGCCAAAUUGAAUGAUGUGUUCAUUCCAAAAAAAAUUAAAAUGGGUAAAAGCCGAGAAGUUUUAUAUUUUUAUAUUAUGAACCUUCGAUUCUCAAAUUUAAAUUCUUCUACAUUGAAUGGGUAGCUACAGCAAUAAAUUUGGAUCAGCCUUUCUACUCCCCUGCACCUAGGUUGAGCAGGUACCUACACAAUACCUAACCACCUAACCCUAUUUUUGCUAUUGAUAAGAGUGCUUAUUAUAAAUGAAUUCUUGCAAAUUUUUUCAAGAAUUCAUUUUUGCAUUUUAGGUAUCAAAAAAAAACCAUCCUAGUGGAUCCGUGUGGUAAGGAAAAACUGGUAAUCUAUUCCUUAAAAAAACUUGGAGAUUAUGUAAUGCUUACUCUCAAACUUCUUGUUUAUACAGUAGUGAUAUUCUUUGUUUCACUCUUUAUCUUUGGAUUCUUAUCUAAUGACCCAGGACGGAAUCCUGGACGCGAGGAGUAAAAAUUCCGUUUUUUUCUUAUUGGAUUUGUUUCGUACAUUUAUCUAUGAGAAAAUCCGGGGGUCAGAAUUCUUUCCAAUUCGAAAGUCCCAAAUGAUCCAAGGGAGCGGAAAGAGAGGGAUUCGAACCCUCGGUACAAAAAAUUGUACAACGGAUUAGCAAUCCGCCGUUUUAGUCCACUCAGCCAUCUCUCCACGUUCCAAAGCGAAAGGUUUCCGUGAUAUGAUAUAGGCAAGAAAUAAGAAAUAAUGGUUGCAAAAAACCCCUUUUUUUUCUUUCAAAAGUCUAUAAAAAUUAUAUUGCCAAUUCCAUUUUAGUUAUAUUCUUUUUUCUUAAUGUUAAUAAAAAAAGAAUAAAAUUCUUGUUUUUUCUUUCUAAAAAUCGAUAUUGGCCGAGAGACAAUCAAAUAGAUUUUCUCUUUAGCGGGCAUUUCCAUAUAGGACUUGUUAUAAUUAUAAUAAAACAAGCAGGUUAUAUAAAAAACGCUUUUUUUGUCGAUUAUUUAUCAAGAAAGCAAAAAGGGUUCUUAUCAAAUCCACCAUAAAAUUGGAAAGAAGCAUAAAGUAAGUAGACCUGACUCCUUUAAUGAUGCCUCUAUCCGCUAUUCUGAUAUAUAAAUUCGAUGUAGAUGAAAUUGUAUAAGCGAUUUUUUUUAUUUCCUUAGACUUAGACUGCGCAAGACAAGAAUUUUUUGCUAUUUACGAUUUCAUAUUCUUGUUACUAGAUGUUCUAUAGGAAUAAGAAGAAAUCGCAACUCCUUUGCGCUACACAUAAAAUUGGAUUUCGAAGGUCCUUUUUUUCAGAAUCCUCUAUUUUAGUUCUUCCACCCAUGCAAUAGAGAGGGAAUGGGAAAAGAAGGGUUACUUUUAUUUUCAUUUUUCCCUUAAAAGAUAGACUUUGAAAUAGGAGUCUUGGAAUAAUGCUGAAUUCAAAGGUUUAUUUAUUUCUAUAGUAUAAGAAAAAAAUUUAUUUCUAUUUCUAUAGUAUAAGAAAAACAAAUAGUAUAAGAAAAACAAAUCGAAUCAAAUUCAUGGAUUUACCACGACCUCGGUUGUGACUCCAUAGAUAAAAAUGGGAAAUUUCUCUCUUCGAGACCAUUGAAAAAGGGCAUUGAAGGAGAAAGAAAUCGUCCACAGAUGAUAAAACUAUCAUAUGCCUUGGAAAGUGAUAUGAGGUGCUUGGAAAUGGUUGAAGUAAUUGAAUAGGAGGAUCACUAUGACUAUAGCCCUUGGUAGAAUUCCUAAAGAAGAAAAUGAUCUAUUUGAUACUAUGGAUGACUGGUUACGAAGGGACCGUUUCUUUUUUGUAGGAUGGUCUGGCCUAUUGCUCUUUCCUUGUGCUUAUUUCGCUUUAGGGGGUUGGUUUACAGGGACAACUUUUGUAACUUCUUGGUAUACCCAUGGAUUGGCUAGUUCCUAUUUGGAAGGUUGUAAUUUCUUAACCGCAGCAGUUUCUACCCCUGCCAAUAGUUUAGCACACUCUUUGUUGCUACUAUGGGGGCCCGAAGCACAAGGAGAUUUUACUCGUUGGUGUCAAUUAGGUGGUCUAUGGACUUUUGUAGCUCUCCACGGGGCUUUUGCACUAAUAGGUUUCAUGUUACGCCAAUU